AAUUCGUACAACAAAGAAGAAGCAUUGUCUCCUAAAUUCAUGAGUUUCAGUCAGAACGGAUUACAAGAGUGCGAGGUGCAAGGAAGGAUACGUGGGCAUAUUUAUAUAACAAUUUCCGUUUCCACCGUAAUUCACCACACGAUGCAGAGGUGAAGGAGUAUCGCUGUGCAUAUCGGAAAAAGAGUAAAUGUCCAGUUCGAAUAUGGGAACACCCAGAUGGAACAGUUGUGGAGAAUGGCAAGAUACACAAAUGUAAAGAAGAUUACGAUGCCAAGGAGAAUGAGAUUUGUCUGGGUGAAGUGGACCGGGCUGUGCUUGAGGGAGGGAAGCUUCGAAACAUCACUAAUUCUCUGAGCCGGAGAUUCGCACACAUUAAAACAAAGAGGGCAAUUGAAGCUAAACUUAGGCGUGUUAGGCCAACCCUCAGCAUUCCCAAUGAUCUCACCAUCCUAGCUGAAUACCUACAGAAGUACGAUGAGGGGAGAUUAAUUUUCCAAGGAAUCAUUGAAAGAGAACAGAGCAAGGCGUUAAUACUUGCUUCACGAAACAUGAUUGAUGCCAUCACGUCAGAAACUAAGCUUGUCAUUACUCAGAGCAAGAACACACGUCCUAAUCUACAAGGAACUGAGUUAAUGAUUCUGCAUCUGGUCAGGACCAGAGGUUUAAUCGUUUCG